CCCUCUAGAAGAUGGCUUCCCUUAUGUUAACCGUGGGCUAUAUAUUUCUCUUCGCUUUCAGGCGACCGACACUAACACGUGCAGGGGCUGGGGGGGGGGGGGGGGGGCGGCCAGGAGCUCCUCUGAGCGCCGGUUCUGUCGCUCCCUGUCUGUCCCGUGAGCUGUGGGCGGGGAGGAUGCUGCGGUGGCUGUAGCUGGGAUGGGACCGUCCGCAUUCAGGGCAGGGGCGCAAAAUGAGCCCCAGGCAGCGGCGGGCUGGCGCAGCGGGGGCGCGGGGUGCGGAGCCCAGCUGACCAUUCGGGCAGCACGUGAGGGCGGCCGACAGUAAUCAGGCAGCUUCUGAGAUGCUUUUGAGUCUGCGUGCACCUGCUGGGCCGUGGGUGUUGUGAGAUGCUGCCGGCAGGCCCCAGAGAGCGGCAGCUUCUGGGGGAUGGGUCCCCAGAACAGCAGGAGGACCAGGCCUGCGGAUAAUCAAGGAGCUUGCUGACAGCCCUCCGCCUGACUAAGCAUCUCACAGGAGCGUUGAGAAGCUACAGUGACCGAUCUAAGCUUCACAUGUCAUAAGAAAUAUGAAAGACAAUUGCCCCUGCACAGAGGACUCUGAACUUCAGCCCCCAAGGCCACAUUCCCCCUCCCUGUCUGAUUCUCACAGUGUGGUUUGGAAAAAUGCUUAGAACUGCAUGUAGGCAAACUAAUCUGCAACCAGUAGAAAGGAAUAACUCGUUAGCAGAAAAUUUAUGUCCUCUGCCCAAACUGUUCCUUCUGUCCCAGAUAAAGAAGGAACUGAGGUUUUCUCAGAUUCCUCAGGAAUGUUGCAUCCAGCAGAUCCGCUGUGGAGAGGUGCCCGACUUUCUGCCGUCAUCCAUCACCUGACACUCCUGACACUCGCCCCCCCUCCCCCCCCAUCUGGCUUAUAUAAGUCGUUUCCAAAUCACAUCCCUUUAAGAUGGGUUUUUUAGGAUGAUAGUCCACCAUCUUCUGAUAUGCUAGCUUAUCGCUUAUUAAAGUUUUUUCUCUACCACCGCCUGCUUGGCUGUUUAUCUUGCGGCAAGCAGAUCGAGCCCUUACUUGGUAUCAUUUCCAGCUUUUGAAGUAUAAAUGACCAAUAAAAAUUGUAUAUAUUUAAAGUC
rnacentral:lncRNA from 1 species